GAUGAACGCUGGCGGCGUGCUUAACACAUGCAAGUCGAACGAUGAAGCCCAGCUUGCUGGGUGGAUUAGUGGCGAACGGGUGAGUAACACGUGAGUAACCUGCCCUUAACUCUGGGAUAAGCCUGGGAAACUGGGUCUAAUACCGGAUAGGAGCGUCCACCGCAUGGUGGGUGUUGGAAAGAUUUAUCGGUUUUGGAUGGACUCGCGGCCUAUCAGCUUGUUGGUGAGGUAAUGGCUCACGAAGGCGACGACGGGUAGCCGGCCUGAGAGGGUGACCGGCCACACUGGGACUGAGACACGGCCCAGACUCCUACGGGAGGCAGCAGUGGGGAAUAUUGCACAAUGGGCGCAAGCCUGAUGCAGCGACGCCGCGUGAGGGAUGACGGCCUUCGGGUUGUAAACCGCUUUCAGUAGGGAAGAAGCGAAAGUGACGGUACCUGCAGAAGAAGCACCGGCUAACUACGCG
rnacentral:rRNA from 1 species